AAGCUUCUUUCUGUUCAGUUCUAUUUUAGAUCAUAUACCACUCCAGAGGUCACAAGUUCAAGGGUGAAGUCCUACCCAAUCCUAAUGUUAUUUGUUUACAAUUACUGUACCUAUGUGUGUUUCCUCUAGUGCAGACCCGGCCUCUCUACCAUGUUUGAAUUCUGCCUUUGGAUUGCUCUUAGUAGAAAAGAAGCUGAAGAUCAAGAUGUGGAAAGAAUAGCAAAUCUCUUAGUGAAGAAACAGUCAAGAAAAUUACUGCUCUCUUAACUUAAAGAGAAACAUUAAUUAAAGAUUAUCCAAAGGUGAUACCCAUUAAGAGGAAUCCCAAAAGAAGAGAACACUCACAUGAUGACAGAAGUGCAUGCUGGUUAGUGUUGUUUUACAUAAUGAGACAAAAUUGAAGCAAAUAUGUAAAAGUAGAUGAAUAAAGUAAACCUCAAUGAAAAAGCCUCUGAGAAA
rnacentral:lncRNA from 1 species